AUUGAACGCUGGCGGUAUGCUUAACACAUGCAAGUCGAACGGCAGCACGGUAUGUAGCAAUACAUAUGGGUGGCAAGUGGCGGACGGGUGAGUAACGCGUAGGAAUCUGCCCUCAAGCGGGGGACAACCCGAGGAAACUCGGGCUAAUACCGCAUAAACUCGGAAGAGAAAAGCUGGGGUAACCUGGCACUUGAGGAGGAGCCUGCGUCUGAUUAGCUAGUUGGUAGGGUAAAGGCCUACCAAGGCGAUGAUCAGUAGCUGGUCUGAGAGGAUGACCAGCCACACUGGAAAUGAGAAACGGUCCAGACUCCUACGGAAGGCAGCAGUGGGGAAUAUUGGACAAUGGGGGAAACCCUGAUCCAGCAAUACCGCGUGUGUGAAGAAGGCCUUCGGGUUGUAAAGCACUUUAGUUGGGGAGGAAGGUUAGCAGUUUAAGAGAUGGCUAAUUUGACUGUACCCAAAGAAUAAGCACCGGCUAACUCUGUGCCAGCCGCCGCCGUAA
rnacentral:rRNA from 1 species